UUUCUGCAAUUCUGAGAAAACGGUUCAGAAGAAUGGUUUGUUUCAGGUCGAAAUCAAUUUUGGGAGUUUUACAUGCAAUAAGGAACGACCAGAUUACGAAGCCUGCCGUAGUGUGGUACCGCAGAUUAAUUUUGGCCAUCUGGCGUUGUCUAACGUGCACACAACGCACGACACACUAACGUUGUUUUUUUUUUUGCCUUUUUCGCUAACACCUAAGUGUGGCUCUGAGCGAAAACUGCGAGCGCUUUCUCGGCAGCGCAACGCCGCAGUAACUAAGCUACCCGUGACGGGCGCUUCAGCUUCCUCGAAGUUUGUGAAAAAUUGGCUUUCCUUGCUUUUGAUCUCCAGGCUUACAGCUCGAGUCUCGCCGCGGAAAGUGAGCGCCUAUCCUCAGCGAGCAGUGAUGCCGUCCAAAGCCUACAGGAGGGUACCGAAGACCACGGCUCCACGAUUAAGGGAAAUGACAAGCCUGCAGAGAACGAUCGUCGAAGCGACCGGCAAAGCGGGAGCGAACUGCGAGUACCUGUUAUACACAGGACGUACGACGCCGGAAAUUGUCGCCCUUGUGAGCAUGUGCACCAAGGCCGUCAUAAAGGUCGGGCAACACGGGAGCGAUCAGCAACGGCUCUGGAAGCGAGAGAGAUGUGCCAUGGCAGGAGAGGAGAACAAGCUA